ensembl:lncRNA novel transcript
GGGGAGAGAAAGGAAGUGGAGAACGUUCUUGCAAGAUGAUCUGUAUUUUCUCUCUAAAGCAGAGUUCAUUUGCUGAGAAUGAUGGAGAAAAUCAGCAUCUAGCUAAUCAGCUGACCAUGAGAUGCAGAGAUUAUCUGGAAUUAUCCAGAUUGGUCCAUUUAAUUACAUGAGUCCUUAAAAGUGGAAAGUGGAAGAAGAGGCAGAAGAGUGUGUCAGAGAGAUGCUGUGUGAAAAGGACUCAACCUGCCACUUGAGGCUUUGAGGCUGGAGAAAGGGGCCAUGAACCAAGGAUUGUGAGCAGCCUGUAAAAUCUGGAAAAGACAAGGCAAUACCCUUUGCUGUCUCAGGGUCAAACAUGCAACUCCUGCCUGCUUGUAUGGCCAGCUGGGUUCAAGAAGGAAGGAACCUCAUUGUUGACAGUUACCAGAUGAAUGUGCCCCUUCUGUACAGCUAAGAAAUGGAAUAGACAUUGGCCACCUCUGAAAGCCUGCCAUGCUAGGGAAGCUCUGAAGUGACCCUUGAGUCAGUAUUCUGAUCCAGCUCCCUAACCCUGAGCCUAAGGACAAGAUGGGGUAGACUGAGUAUGCUGAUUGUUGCUGUGACUAUGGUUUUCAGACAAUAAAAAAUGUGAAUUAUGAGGUAUAUCAUAAUUAAUUCAUUAUCCACAUUGAUCACUUACUCGUUAACCUUUAUGUGAUAAAUUUACUUAUAAUCAAUGAAUGUUUAUGUUUGUUUGUACUCAAUCUUUAUCUGUUAAAUUUAGUUGAAUAAGACAAGUUAUUAUUUAACUCCCUAGUUGUGACUUAUAUUCUCAUACCAAAAGAUUAAAUGUUGAGGAAACCGUAGGGAUCACUAGAUCUAAGUUUUUGAUCAACCUCCUCAUUUUGCAGAUGAAAAACUUUAGCUUGGUAUAGUAAAAGGACUUUCUUGGGUUAUUCAGGCAUUAGCAGCAAUGCUGGAUCUGGAACCCAGGUCUUUAACUUCUGAGUCUACCUUCUCCCAACAUACACUAAGGAGCCUUCUUUCUCAGGUCUCAGAUUCUACCACAAACUUAUGAUACUUGCAAUUAAUUAAAUUCUAAAGGUCAGAUGAAACAUUAAUAAGGCGGUGUUUUGAAGAGUAGAUUAGAUGUUUGCAUAAAACAUAAGGACAGUUAAAAGCCAUUAAAUAUUUAUUUAAUUGGACAAUCAUAUUCUUUAGUACCAAUGAAUUUUCUCUAAAAAAAUUCAAGAAAAAUUUUAGCUACAGCAGAUAGCACCUAGGUCCCUUGCCAAGUGACAAAUAAAGCAGAAAUGCUCUUAUCAGAUAAGAGGCACCUGCAACCCUGUUUUUUAAAAAUAAAAUUUAAAAAUUAUUCAAACAGUUCAAAUGUGAAAAGAAUUCAGGUAUUUUGCUUAAAAGAUCCAUGUUAUUGAAACUUUAGAGCAGAAAAUGGGAUUCUUAGCAAUCAAUGACAUUUAGAUAUUUAGCAUUCUCAGCACCCCCACAGUCUUUGAGAAUGGAACACCCCAUUCUUUUCAGUAUUGCUGGAUGACUACUUUAAUCAGAAUGCCAGUAAUAUUCCUGAAUGGAAAGAUCUGAUGGGCAGAAUUGAAGAAACAGAAAAGAUGGCUAGCAUCUUUUACAUAUGUAUAUGCUGUACUUCAUGUGUUUAGUUAUGGUUGCAAAGCAUUUCAA